CGCUCUGGGACCUGCCCUUUCUUUGAAACGCUGUGUCCAGGGCAUGACCCCCAUAGAGACGUGGGCCUGGGUGGAGGCUGCAGCUUAAGAGGAAGCUCUCGGCGUCGGGGCCUGUGCCCUGCCGGCCGCCCUGACCUUGGAGGAAGCGGGCGCUGACACACUGUGGGCGACAGGAAGGGCCGGGAGCUCUGUGGCCGUUGGCAAGGCCAGGAACCCGGGUAGUCGAGCUGAAACUGUGAUCUGAGGCGCGAGGCCUCCGUGGGAGAAGGGUCGCUUCAGACGGGGACCGAGGGCCUGGCUCUGGGAAGGUGGGUCCUGCUCCCUUCUGAGGCAGGCAGAGCUGCAGGGAAAGCAGGUGUGUGGAGGCCCCUCCAGAGCCAGGCUCCAGGCGCUUCAGGUACGGCGCCCGUUCUGCUCCCUUCCCAGGCCUGCCCAGCUGCCCACCGCACGAAGCUUCACAACUGAGCGAGCAGCUCCUCACGGAAGGUUAGAUUCGGCGCGUUACGUCAUUACGUUCAGUGAAAGAACUGAGUGAGCAGCUCCUCACGGAAGGUUAGAUUCGGCGCGUUACGUCAUUACGUUCAGUGAAAGAACUGAGUGAGCAGCUCCUCACGGAAGGUUAAGUUCGGCGCGUUACGUCAUUACGUUCAGUGAAAACUGAGUGAGCAGCUCCUCACGGAAGAUUACAUUCGGCGCGUUACGUCAUUACAUCCAGUGAAAGAACUGAGUGAGCAGCUCCUCACGGAAGGUUAGUUCGGCGCGUUACGUCAUUACAUCCAGUGAAAGAACUGAGUGAGCAGCUCCUCACGGAAGGUUAGUUCGGCGCGUUACGUCAUUACGUUCAGUGAAAGAACUGAGUGAGCAGCUCCUCACGGAAGGUCGAAGCCGCUGGUCUCAGCUGUGUUUUCACCGGUUCCCU
rnacentral:lncRNA from 1 species